rnacentral:rRNA from 1 species
UACAGAGGGUGCAAGCGUUGUUCGGAAUUAUUGGGCGUAAAGGGUGCGUAGGCGGUGCGGUAAGUCUGUUGUGAAAUCUCCGGGCUCAACUCGGAGUCUGCAUCAGAAACUGCCGUGCUGGAGUGUGGGAGAGGUGAGUGGAAUUCCCGGUGUAGCGGUGAAAUGCGUAGAGAUCGGGAGGAACACCUGCGGCGAAAGCGGCUCACUGGACCAUAACUGACGCUGAUGCACGAAAGCUAGGGGAGCAAACAGG